AAUUUCUGUUGACUCGUUAUUUUUUAAUAUUUGAUAUAUUUUGGCUUCUUGCCCUUUUCAUUUGAUUAAUGGGAUUCUUCCAUUCUAUAUAUAUAUAAAAUAUGUGUUGUUAGAAAAAAUGUCCUAUAUAAUUUUUUUUUAUCCCAAACUACAUUGUCAGGUGAUUUCUUUUCACCUUUUAAAAGCAUUUGACUUCUUGCUAACAUCUGUUGCAGCCCUUCCACAUCCACAAAAUAUUCCAGUUUCUAUUCUUCACAGUUUGUUCGUGAAGGGUGACAUGAUGGGGUUUGAACUGGGAGAGGAUGACUUGGAGGCUUCUGGGCUAUAUCCAGACCUGGAAUUUAGAACAAGCGAUCAACUUCUUGAUAUUUUUCUCACUAGCCCUCCAGAUCCUGCAGCUGCUGCUUUUGAAUGAGUUUUCUGAUCUGUGAUUUCCAUGUCUUGAAUUUGUUUUCUUGUUUGUAACGUCCGCAGAUAGACGGACAUCUAAAAGGUCAGGUUACUCUGGUCUACGUUCGUAUUGUGUUGGGUUACGUUCACGCAUCAUGUUUAUCACAUGAAAGUUUCUUCUUUUUUUUUGCUUUCCUUGUCAUUUUCUCGAGUUCAAGAUUGUGUGACUAUUUUUUAUUUUUAGUACUCGAGAUGCUAUUAAAAGAGGACCAGAUUACCAAUAAGUUAAUGUAAAUCUAGUUGGUAGGGGAGAAGAGUUCGGACCCAGAGAGAAAAAAAGAUGGCAGGAAAACAAGAGCAAAAACUAUACACAAGUCAGCAUUAAUUAGACCAGAGUAGAAUGCCUUGGGGACCUCUUAGCAGAUCAUCCCCACUGUAGGUGAAAUUAGAGUCUAGAGUUCUGAGCCUCUGAAGAAUGAGAUCAAAGAUGGAAUUCCAAUCUUUAUCCGUAGUGUUUGGCAUACACCAACUGGUACCGAUCCAGUUUAUAAAAUGUUGCCAUAAUUUCCAAGAUUUAUAGCCAUGAGAUUUAUACUCUAGUGCCACAGAAAGGACAAGAUGCUUCUUCUAGUGUAAUUAAAUUUCUCUUUACAAGGAUGCAUCUUGAAGUAUAGAAAGAAAGAUGGAGAAGUUUUCAUAAAACAAUUUAGUUAGUUUAUUAAUUUUAAUAAAUUAAUUUUUUUACAAAUUUGACAUGCAAAAAAAUAAUUUGUUGGGAUAGGGCUGGCAAUGAUAUUAUCGAGAAGGUUUGAGAUAAUUAUAACACAACUAAGUAAGAUUGAAUUCAAUUUGUUAAAUUUUUUAUUUAAAUGUUAAAAUUGUAUUUUUCAUUAUCUUAACCGAUAAUUAAUUUCUACAAUAGAAGUUGCGUGAUUUUUUGUAUGAGGCGUAAAAAAAUAGCAAAAACAAAUAUGCUAAGGAAAGAGGUUAUCCAAACUGGAGAGACAUAGCAGUUUUGAGGGAUUUCAGACCACCACAUUUCUUGGAGGUUGUAUGGGCAAAUUACAUCCAGCACGUGACGUUCGAGCGUUUCAUGCGACCGUCGCAUUUCAGUGUGGAUAUAAACUAAAGCAUUUAAAAUAUGAAUUAAAGAAUUCUAGUUACAAGAGAAAAUGUAUCAAAAUAAUUCAUAUUUUUUUUUUGAAUAAAACUUUUUGCAACUAAUCUUGCUUUGUAUUUAUCUAAAGAAUUAUUAGGAAUUUUUUUAAACAUCCAUUUGCAACCAAUAGGUAUUGCACCUAUGAGCAAAUCAACAAUCUUCCAAGUUUGAUUUUGUAAAAGUGAAUCAAUUUCAACUUUAAUUACUUUUUACCAAACCAAAGAUUCAAAAGAAGAGAUAGUUUCAUUUUUUUUAAUUAACGUGAGUGUCCGGGCCAGCUUGCGAGCACCUCGACUAAUCUCACGGCCCUGAAUUUAACGACCAUGUAAGCCUUCAGUGGCCCUGAGGUUUGUGGGACUCGAACUGGUGACCUCUAGGAAGCAAACUUAGAACCUAACCAAUUGAACUACACCCCUCAGGGUUAUUUGAUUCAACCCCAUCAUUAUUUGAUUUAGUUGUGAAUAUUGGACCCAAAAAUGACAAAUUAAAGAAAAUAUAUAAAUGGUGCUAAAUACAAAUCCAAAAGUUAGCUAACAGUUCUCGUUUUCUUUUUCAUAGAAUGAGAAGUUUCAUUGGAAUAUCAGGGGAAGAUGAACAGUGCAGUAGAGGAGGAAGAGAGUUCCUUUGUGUGUGUGUGUGAAAGAAUAUAAACAGAAUAAAACACUAAGAAAGCUCAGCUCUUCAAUCUCACUGCGAAUCUACCUCAUAAAAGUUGUAGCAGAGAAACAAAGGAUAGCUGGAAAAACAAUUAUGGCAAAGGAAAACAUCCUUUAUUUAAAUAUUCUAAAUUGCAAUUCCAUCCAAAUGCUACAAAACAAAGCAAAUAUAGGAGGAUAUUUGGUUACACCUUCCACCUUUUGAAUUCUCAAGCCAUCAAGCCUUAAAAAUUUGAGGUCUGAUGAAAAAUGGCAUUAAAUAAUAAUAAAUGAAGGGGAAAAAAAACUAACUACUCACUUUUCCAUUCAAAUUCAAAUCUGAAAUCUUUUUUUAUUAGGGUUUGUAUUUAUCGGAUUCAAUCAGUAUAUCCGAUUUUUAAACAAAACAACUCAAAUCUGCUAUGUAUUUAGGGUGGCAAAGAAAUUCUUAGGCAUGUAAAGACUUGCACUCUGCCCUCGGACAAAUCAUGGGACCUCCUAUGAAAAUUAUUGUAAAAUAAAAUGACAAAAAGACUUUGGAUCUUUUCAGCACAAAAUUAAGAGCAGAAGGGUGUAUGAUGACAGUAACCUGAGGUCAAUUUUCUGCUCUAUAAAUAAUCUAGCGGGUGAGGUAGAUUAAUAGCUAGAACUGUUCACAAUAACGAUAAUUCUCCCUGCAACACUUGAAAACUGUUUAGUUAUAUAACGUCAUUCUUUUGAACACGUACAUGUAAUUAAUAGACACUUGAACAAUGGGGUAAGAUUAUUCAAUAUAUACUUGAACAAUUUGUUUGUGAGAUUCUUUUCACCUUUUAAAAGGAUUUGACUUCUUGCUAACAUCUGCUGCAGCCCUUCCACAUCCACAAAAUAUUCCAGUUUCUAUUCUUCACAGUCUGUUCGUGAAGGGUGACAUGAUGGGGUUUGAACUGGGAGAGGAUGACUUGGAGGCUUCUGGGCUAUAUCCAGACCUGGAAUUUAGAACAAUCGAUCAACUUCUUGAUAUUUUUCUCACUAGCCCUCCAGAUCCUGCAGCUGCUGCUUUUGAAUGAGUUUUAUGAUCUGUGAUUUCCAUAUCUUGAAUUCGUUUUCUUGUUUGUCGGCAGAUAUACAGACAUCU
rnacentral:lncRNA from 1 species